rnacentral:rRNA from 1 species
CACGUAGGGGGCGAGCGUUGUCCGGAUUUAUUGGGCGUAAAGAGCUCGUAGGCGGCUCAGUAAGUCGGGUGUGAAAACUCCAGGCUCAACCUGGAGACGCCACCUGAUACUGCUGUGGCUAGAGUCCGGUAGGGGAGCAUGGAAUUCCUGGUGUAGCGGUGAAAUGCGCAGAUAUCAGGAGGAACACCAGUGGCGAAGGCGGUGCUCUGGGCCGGAACUGACGCUGAGGAGCGAAGGCGUGGGGAGCAAACAGG